AUACAUACACACACACAUAAAAAAAAUAGCCUAGUUUUAAGGGUGGCUUCUUGUGCCACAAUUCUUGCUGCAUAAUUUUCAGGGCCAUGCCUACAAUUCUAACGGUGUAUUCUAGCAAAAUUAUUCGUAAAAAAUGUUAACACUCAACUCAUUCCCUGCCAAUGCUGCCCAAAGACGUUAUUCAGAAUCGAGCUAUUCCCUGACAAUGCCUUCUAAAGACGUCAAUGGUGUUUUUUAACGGGGAUGACUGGGUGAGGGUCUUGUGCAGUUUGUGUGAUCGCCAAGCCUCUAGAUAACUGCAAUGAGGAAUGGCACCCUGUAGAGGGCAACAAUGCCUUAAGGUAAACGUCCCUCCCUCAGAGGAAGAGGAGGAGGAGGCGGGGUGCAAGAGACGGUGAGAAAAGACCAGCAUAAAGGUGGAAAAGAGAGAAGACAAAAUGAGAAAAAUCUAAAAAAAAAAAAAAAAAAAAAGCUUUUGGCUUUAGAAAUUUAUUGCGCCAAGGCAAGAAAAAUAUUCCUGUGACCGACAGGAAAGACGCCUUAGAUCAUGCGGGGGGGAAUAAAGGGUGACGCUCCGAGCUGAUCGCUUUCUUGCAAAGCUAUCGCCCAAAAUGUCGGGCCAUAUGGCGAGAUGCUCUCGGCCGCUUGCCAGCUUAUCGUGUGCCGACCAGAAUUUGAGUAAAGGGGAUCAGGAAUCGUCAGAUGAGUGAACUCCCUCUGGAUCGCCAGCCAAGCUUCAUCCCGAGAUCCUCCGGAUGAUAUGGAAACGAAGGUAACUCGUUUGCACCUCACGUUAGCUACAUUUAGCGAGCAAACACGCUCUGUGAAAUUUUGUCCCUCUAGUUCACAUUACAAUGUCAUAUCUGUUGCCAGUACUGAUUUGAAUUUUCCAUUUCCAGCUCGUCCAUCUUCAUCAUCCAACACCCGCGAGUCGAACGUCUUUUAGGAUUGCAACGACAAAGUUAUGCAUUUCAGCCGACGUUCAACUCCCACUCCAGUACACAAUGCAGACAAAAAAGAUUUAAAAAUAAAUCACAGGCAUAAGUAUUCAGACCCUUUGCUGUGACACUCAUAUAUUGGUGCUGUCCAUUUCUUCUUCUCAUCCUUGAGAUUGUUUUACAACUUCAUUGGAGUCCAGCUGUGUUUGAUUAUACUGAUUGGACUUGAUUAGAAAACCCACACACCUGGCCAUAUAAGACCUUACAGCAGUGCAUGUCAGAGCAAAUGAGAAUCAUGAGGUCAAAGGAACUGCCUGAAGAGCUCAGAGACAGAAUUGUGGCAAGGCGCAGAUCUGGCUACAUAAAACAUUCUGUUGCACUUAAGGUUCCUAAGAGCACAGUGGGCUCCAUAAUCCUUAAAUGGAAGACGUUUGGGACAACCAGAACCCCUCCUAGAGCUGGCCGUCCGGCCAAACUGAGCAAUUGGGGGAGAGGAGCCUUGGUGAGAGAGGUAAAGAAGAACCCAAAGAUCACUGUGGCUGAGCUCCAGAGAUUCAGUCGGAAGAUGGGAGAAAGUUCUAGAAAGCCAACCAUCACUGCAGCCCUCCACCAGUCCGGGGAUUUAUGGCAGAGUGGCCCGACGGAAGCCUCCUGUAGGUACAGGACGACUGAUUGCAAUCAAAGGAAAUAUGAAUGUGGCCAUGUACAGGGAUAUACUGGACGAAAACCUUCUCCAGAGCGCUCAGGACUUCAGAUUGGGCCGAAGGUUCACCUUCCUACAAGACAAUGACCCUCAGCGCACAGCUAAAAUAACAAAGGAGUGGCUUCAGAACAACUCUGACUCUUCUUGAGUGGCCCAGCCAGAGCCUUGACUUGAACCCAAUUGAGCAUCUCUGGAGAGACCUGCAAAUUGCUCUCCACCAUCGUUCACCAUCCAACCUGACAGAACUGGAGAGGAUCUGCAAGGAGGAAUGGCAGAGGAUCCCCAAAUCCAGGUGUGAAAAACUCGUUGCAUCCUUCUCAAAAAGAUACAUGGCUGUAUUAGCUCAAAAGGGUGCUUGUACUAAAUACUGACCAAAGGGUCUGAAUACUUAUGGCUGUGUGAUAUUUCAGUUUUCCUUUUUUUAAUCUGCAAAAAUUUCAACAAUUCAGUUAUUUUUCUGUCAAUUUGAGGUGCCGUGUGUAUAUUGAGGAAAAAAAACAACUUAAUUUUAGCAAAUGGCUGCAAUAUAACAAAAAGUGAAACAUUUAGGGGGUCUGAAUACUUUGCAUACCCACUGUAUGUGUCAGUAUGUCCACAGCAAAAGCUAAAUCACAAAGCCAAUCUGUGUUACUCAGCUCAGGAAAAUCGUUGGUUUUCUCCAGUAACGCCAAAAAAGAGAUCCUGUUUGCGCUCCGAUACUCGAUCGCACACUUUCCCUGAACUUAACCAGUAGACAUUUGAGUGGUAAAUUAUUUAGUUAUCCAGUUCAGGAUCGCGAGGCGCUGGAGCCCAUCCCAGCUGACUUCGAGCCAAAGGCAGACUACACCCUGAACUGGUCCACAGUCAGUCGCAGGGUGCACAUAGACACGGACAGCCAUUCUCACUCACAUUCAAACCGUCACCGAGUGGGAACUGACCUCACGCUGCCCGCAUCAAAGUUAGGUGAGUGCACCACUACUAAUCAGUGACUGAUUUAGCGAGCCAUCUGUGGUAAUGUUGGCAAGCGUACUCCAAGGUAGCUUGUGCCUCUUGAUGACACCCGACACACUGUCAUACAAAUUCUCUCCUCGCGUUUUUACGUUCAGGGAUUCCAUGCCCAAAAACUCCUCAGUUAUCUCGAAAUAUUCAUUAAUUCCUCUGAUUAAAAAUUAAAAGCUGAGUGGUAUUUGUCAUCACUUUGGUCCAGUACCAAGGAAUACAAUGUAAAUGACUGCUUUUUUUGUUUAGCUUGUUAGCUAAGUCUUCAUUUAUUUGCUCAACACAGCGAUUCACUCUCCUGGGUGAUAAGCUGAUGUUUUCAAAUGUGUUCUUGCUCUCAGGACACAAGACACUUGCUCUCUCUACCAUGCAUUCUUUCAGAAACUCUCCUUGGGAAAGAGGCUUGCUGGUCUUUUCUAGUUUGAAUGCCAGCAAAAAACUAGCCUUGGUGACUGAAUAUUGGAUGGCAGUUUGUCAGAUGAUUUUGUUUUGCAGAGCCUGCAAGCUUGAUUUUAAGCGCUGAGCUGGAUCCAUCAGUUCCUGCAUGGACUGGUUGUUAGAAUAAUCAGCAUGCUUGGUUGAAAAGUGACGUCUGAUGUUAUAUUCCUCUAAAACCGCAAUGGUUUCUUAACAAAUAAGACAUAACAGCCUUUGACUAGACUACAGUGAAAAAGUAUUUAGUAGUCCAUUCUAUAUUAAACACUCGGCACUCACUGUCGACUUUUCUUUUGCCCACUCAUGGGUGAAGAAGAGUUCAGAGCAGUUGCAGAGUAAAAACAGAACAGCCAAAGUCAAGUCAAUGUCAACAUACCUACUGCGCUACCUGGUGGAACCACUGGGCAUUACAGGACAAGGUCUAAUGAAUGUAGUCAUGAUUUUGAUAUGAUUUGGGCGAUUCUGUACCUUUGGCGGGCCGGAUUACUGGAUUGAAAUUAUCAAUGGGCUGGAUGUGGCCCGCGGGCCUUAGUUUGCCCAUCCCUGGUCUAGCUAUUUGUAGAUGUGAGGUUGGGGUGGGGGCAAACCCGGUGAGGACAUGCAAUAACUAACCAAGAGAACAAGAGAGGACAGAAAAGGCCAGGACAGGAUGUGGGAAAAUGAGCAAGGCAGCGUUACUGAAUAGUGGUGCGGUGGGAUUCUUUCUUUUUUUUUAGUGUCUAAACACCUGUGAACCUGUGAGUUGAUAUGGUAGUAUAACCUGUGCUGUUGUUAGUGAUUCCCACCACAAGUAAUUCAAGCCUAUAGUGUGGCUAUCGAACAUAUUAGUGAAUGAACACCAUAUCACAUGCAUGUUAGUCAACUGGUGUACGGAGUUGCUGAGCCGGCACAUCGAGGAAGGCUGAGCUCCCCCAGUUCCCCCCCUCCACCCACAAGGGAAGGGCUGAGUCAGCAAGCCGAUCCAGCAGGGGACCCAACCAGGGGGACGCCACCGACCCGCCCUAGGACCCAGGGAGGUCCUGAGCCCGACCAAACAGGGCACCGGACCACCACCGUCACUGCCCCCACCACCCCCGAAGAGCUUGGGGGCCCCAGCCCAACGCACGAGGGCCCAACACAGGAGCCAGCAGCCAUCCAAAAAUGGUCAUAACCCACCAAAGCAACUCCAUGUUAGGCGCCCGUCGUGAGCAAGGAAGGACAGGCGAGGGUGCCAAGAUCGGGGAGAGGAAGGCAGAGCCCAAAGGGGUGGAGUGGGCGGGAGGGGGGGGGGGGGGCAGAUGUGCCAGCACCCGGCCUGGCGCCCGCCCCACCAUACCAUGUUUAAAUUAAGAAUAACAGCGAUUCAAUCACAGCAAAGCUUAUUUAUGUAUCAAAUAAUAAUGAGAAAUCCGACCGAAUAUCCGAUAGAAUAGCUUGGAAAAAGGGCAUGCAGUGAUCUUGCAAACCUGAUAAAAGGACUUCAAAGAUAAGGAAAAUAUAUAUUUUUUAAUUCAUGGUAUGGGUCCUUUAAAACUUUACAUUUACAUUUUUGAAUGAAAACAAAUUGAAACAACAACAAACUUUUAAAAUUCUUUUUGGAUUGAAUGUGAAAUCCUUUAACUUAUUGAAACCAAUAAGUGCUCUUUUUAGAGCACUGGAAAAUGAGACUGAUGUAACCGUUAUCGCAGGUGCUUCUGAUCUCUCAGGGCCUUUACCCCCCCCACCUUCUUUACACACAAAACAAACGCUGUCUAAUUUAGCGAGAAAUGCUAUGUCUGAUUAAGUAGUUGGUUUGGAAAUGUUAUUGACAAAAAUUGACCAGUGGCUCAUUGAGUUUUCAGGUUGUAAUUGAACGUAGACACAAGUGAUUUCAUAAGCAGACGUACUGUAUGUGUGCGGCGCAAUAUGCGUACACCUGUACAUUAAAUUGCUACGUCAUCGGGGUGAGUUAAAACAAAACAUCGGUUCCCCUAAAUUAUCAGAGUGAUCGAUUUAGUUUCUGUACCUCAGUAAUGUUUGUUUGCCCAACAAACAAAGCACGAAACCAUCCGGAAAAAUAACAUACGUGGUUGUGUUCACCUCCUCCUCACUGUAUGUAAUUAAGUAGCCAAUUCACCCACCCAUCCAUCCAUCCAUUUUCUACCGCUUAUCCGAGGUCGCGUCGCAGGGGCAGUAGCUUUAGCAGGGACGCCCAGACUUCCCUCUCCCCAGCCACUUCAUCCAGCUCUUCCGUGGGGAUCCCGAGGUGUUCCCAGGGCAGCCGAAAGACGUAGUCUCUCCAGCGUGUCCUGGGUCGUCUCCGGGGUCUCCUCCCGGUGGGGACGUGCCCGGAACACCUCACCAGGGAGGCGUCCGAAUCAGAUGCCCCAGCCACCUCAUCUGGCUCCUCUCGAUGUGGUGGAGCAGCGGCUCUACUCUGAGAUCAUCCCGGAUGACCGAGCUUCUCACCCUAUCUCUAAGGAAGAGACACCCUGCGGAGGAAACUCAUUUAGGCCGCUUGUAUCCGGGAUAUUAUUCUUUCGGUCACGACCCACAGCUCGUGCCCAUAGGUGAGGCUAGGAAUGUACAUCGACCGGUAAAUCGAGAGCUUCGCCUUUCGGCUUAGCUCCUUCUUCACCACAACGGACCGAAACAAAGUCCACAUCACUGCAGACGCUGCACCGUUCCGCCUGUCGAUCUGCCGUUCCAUUCUUCCCUCACUCCUUAACAAGAACCCAAGAUACUUGAACUCCUCCACUUGGGGCAGGAUCUCAUCCCCGUCCUGGAGAGGGCACGCCACCCUUUUCCGACUGAGGACCAUGGUCUAAGAUUUGAAGGUGCUGAUUCUCAUUCCAGCCACUUCACACUCUGCUGUGAACCGCUCCAGUGAGAGUUGGAGAUCACGGCCUGAUGAAGCCAACAGAACCACAUCAUCUGCAAAAGGCAGAGAUGCAAUACUGAGGCCACCAAACCGGACCCCUCUACGCCUCGGCUACGCCUAGAAAUUCUGUCCAUAAGUUAUGAACAGAAUCGGUGACAAAGGGCAGCCUUGGCGGAGUCCAACCCUCACCGGGAACGAGUCCGACUUACUGCCGGAUAUGCGGACCUAACUCUGACUCCGGUCGUACAGGGACUGAACAGCCCGUAUCAGGGGUUUCGGUACCCCAUACUCCCGAAGCACCCCCCCACAAGAGCACCUGAGGAAUACGGUCGAUCGCCUUCUCCAAGUCCAGACUGGUUGGGUGACUGGUAGACUGGUUGGGUGAACUCCCAUGCACCCUCGAGGAUCCUGCCGAGGGUGUAGAGCUGGUCCACUGUUCCACGCCCAGGAUGAAAACCCCACACUGCUCCUCCUGAAUCUGAGAUUCGACUUCCUGAUGGACCCUCCUCUCCAGUACCCUUGAAUAGACCUUGCCAGGGAGGCUGAGGAGUGUGAUCCCCCUGUAGUUGGAACACACUCUCCGGUCCCCCUUCUUAAAAAGGGGGACCACCACCCCAGUCCGAUUUGCAGAGGCAUGUCAACCAGGACAGACCCACAACGUCCAGAGCCUUUAGGAACGCUGAGCGAAUCUCAUCCACCCCCGGGGCCUUGCCACCGAGGAGCUUUUUCACCACCUGUGAACAUAGAGCUUAUGUGCCUUGCCAAAAGGUUCCAGUUUUGUCUCAUCUGUCCAUAGGACGUUCUCCCAGAAGCUUUGUGGCUUGUCAUUAUGUAGUUUGGCAAAUUCCAGUCUUUCUUUUUUGUAUGAUUUUCAACAGUGGUGUCCUCCUUGGUCGUCUCCCAUGAAGUCCACUUUGGCUUAAACGGCAACGGAUGGUGCGAUCUGACACUGAUGUACCUUGAUCUUGAAGUUCACCUUUAAUUUCUUGGGAGGUUGUUCUGGGCUCGUUUGUUUCUAAUCUCCUGAGAUGACUCUUCUUUUCUUCCUCUGGACCAUGUUUAGUGUACUACACUCCAUGUCACCCAAAAGCACAGUGAUUUUAAAUAGGCUUACUGAUUAUACAUUUGAAGAUACCUGCAAUGCUAAUUAGAGGACACGACUUGCUUGAACAUGUCCCUAUGGUGAAAUUUUCUUUUCAGAUGUUGGGAACAACCCAAGUAAUCCAUACAUACAAAGAAAGUAGAAAAAUAAAAUCUGAAAUUAUGUGUAAUAAUGUGAAAUGACACAGGGAAAAAGUAUUGAACACGCCAACUGGUAUUUAUUUAAUACUUUGUACAAAAGCCUUUGUGUGCAAUGACAGGUUCAAGAUGCCUCCUGUAUGGAGAAACUGGUCGCAUGCAUUGUUCCGGUGUGAUUUUGGCCCAUUCCUCCACACAAGCCGUCUUCAAUUUGUAUAUUACUGUAUUUUCCUCUCUGAACACAUCCUAAUUUGCCUGUAUUUUGCUCUUCAAAGCUGGCUAUUCUCCUUCAUAACGUGGUUCCAGCCAGACCAAUGUGCCAAGUGUACUGUACUACCAAUCAUUUAUUUUGGGGUUUGUGACGUCAUGUGAUAUAGCUGAGCGAUUAGCAUGAUGUUUCUGUCAGACUGUCUUUUUAUUUUUAUUUUUUUAUUUUUUUAUUUAAUUUUUUAAAUUAUUGCUCAUCCAAAACUCAAAGCUACAUUAUCGGUAUCAGAUCGGAAGUGGAAAAAGUUGGAUCAGGGCAUCCCUUGAAAAAAAAACAUGUCCACACGUAACAAGAGUGUUGACAGACUUGAGUUGAAAGUAAUCCCAUACUGUGAUAAAGACUUUCUGCGACGUGACACCACCUCCAUGUUUUGACGUCCGCCACAAGACAUCAGAGGAAGCACCCUGAUCAAUGGAUUUGUGUCUGCCAUAACUGCAGAAACAUUACAAACCUCAUGCACACCUUAGUCUUGAACGCGAGAGUUUUACGUCUCACCAGACGAAUGGGGAAUAACAUGCAGACAGCUGAGGACCUCCGUGACCCUGGAGAGAAAAAACAAUUCCGCCAAGGCCACCUAUCGCCAAUAGGUAAUGUGGAAAAUCCCCAAGGACAUUAUAUUGGAUUCAGACAAAGCAGAGAGAACAAUUAUGCAGCUCGGAACCACGUCAUAUUUUCAAAGCCUCGUUCCACUACAAGUGUGCAUGGUAUAUUACUUUAUAUUUUUAGAUCCAUUAGCACUUUUUUUAUUCACUCCCAUAAUGUCUGCAUAUUUACCUAUACCAUUUUAGAAUUGUUAUAAGUUAAUUGAAAAUAAAUAUCCUUUAAAAUUAAAACUCAGAAAUCAAAGUGUUACCGUAAUUUCUCCUGCAUAAUGCUCAUCCCCCCCCCAAAAAGUCAAUAGUGCGCAUUAUACACAGGAGAAAAUGAAUGAGUUUCACAUUUUAUAAAUGUAUGCUGCAAUCUAGAGGUUAUGAAAAAGCUAUACUUUUUCUUUCCAAUAUGCCACUGCCCCCUAUAGGUUAUGAAAAAGUUGUACACUUUCAUUCAAGUAUGUCACCUAGUGGUAAUGAAAAAGGUGUACCCUACACUUUCAUUCCAAUAUGACAGGGGUACAUAUGACUGCAUAUAUGUACAGUUGUGCUCACAAGUUUAAAUACCCAGGCAGAAUUUGUGAAAUAUAUAUAUUUUUUAUUUAUUUCAAUGACUGAUGACUGAACAACAACCAUUUAUUUCUUUGUGGUUAUGUUUUGUUUAAUGAUAAUGCUUUUCUGAAAUGCUUGACAGUUUAAUUUGAAUCCCAUUAAAAUAAAAUGGGUUUUGCCUGGUCCUUUGUUUUCUUUAAAGGUCAGAUGACAAAGAUGUUAUGGGGUCAGUUAAAAUUCAUAUUUGCAUUGUUUAUGUAAUACAUGCAUGUAACUUCCAGCAAGUAUUCAACCAUAGUUUAGCAAAAAAAUAAAAUUUUUAUGACUCAUAUUGAGUCCUCCCCGAACAUACCCGAAUCUCAAGACACCAGGGUGUGGUUAUUCUAUCCACCACAAGGUCUACCAGAAGUGACGUUGCAAUUGACAAACACAGCGCGCUACACUCUAUACGCAAUGGUGAGCAACGUGUUGGAAUAUGAGGAGGAGGAGGAAUUCGACGUACAGGAGCACCCAUCUUGGCAUCGUCAAACCGUACAUCUGAGCCGAUCAGGAGGUCAAAACCUGACAGUGACUACAACGAGCAGCCAAGUAGCAGAAAAAGAGAGUGGCCACUGGGUCGAUGUGACGGUAUGUCAAAAGCAUGUCUUUUUAUACAGUCAUGGCUAGAAAAAUAGCACGGCAGGGGUGCAAUAUUUUUUAGCACGACUAUACGUAUUAUAUAUUCAUGUUUCAGUAACACUGCACAAGCUUUUACGUAGGAUGCAAUAUUCCUAUAUGUUGUGUGCCCCUCGCUCGAGUAGCGUUAUAACACGCCCCACAGAAAGUCUUAUUGGCUUGUCAUAUAGGCAAAAGUACAGACCGUACUGACAAGUACUGCGUGGGUCUUUUUUUCCCUACUCCCCAGUGCAUCGUAACCAUAAUAGAGUCAUAGGUAUAUACGAGGACAUCCCCGCCUCUUGUCUCCGCCGCUUCGCUGCUGCUUCGUGGCGGCUGCGAUAUUUAGUUCUGUUGCUGGCGGUUGAGGUCCCGAUGGCUUUAGGAAAAAUAGUUGGCACCGCAGCUGGUUUCAGCCUCUACCUCUGUAUACCUCUUUCUCAAAACACGCCGGUUCGAAGUGAUCAGCACGCUUGCUAGGCAGCCAUAGCUGACCACAUUUCUUCCCCUGUCGAGUGACUUUCCCCAUCCACUGGUCACGCAUUCCCUUUUCACUUGGAAAGCCAAGAAAAUCUUGCCACUGCCUGAAACAUUUGCAGAACCAAUUGCCACACAAUAAACCAUCGUGACAUCGUGAGACAACAAAUAUACAAGGACGGGAACAACAGCAUGGAACAAUAGCACACAACACCGAAUGAACAGGUUGUUUGGCUUGUGUGACGUCACAGCGCCGGAAAGAGACAAAAACCGGAAGGCACUGGAUGCAAAAAGCAUCAGGGGCAUUAUGCAUCAUAUUUAUCGAUUUAACUGCUGUAUAUUUGCUAUAUAAUCACUUCGAAAUGGCAGAUGUGGUUUGUAAAGGGGUUCUCGAGUUAUCAAGAUUUUUUAUUAAUUUUUUUAAAUCUUUGUCCUUUGACCUUUAAAGAAUUGUACACAUCAUUUGUACAUUGAGGAACAUUGUCCUUAAACUGUUGGACUAUUUUCUCACGCACUUGUUCACAAAGAGGUGAACCUCGCCCCAUCUUUGCUUGUGAAUGACUGAGCAAUUCAGGGAAGCUCCUUUUAUACCCAAUCAUGGCACCCCCCUGUUCCCAAUUAGCCUGUCCACCUGUGGGAUGUUCCAAACAGGUGUUUGAUGAGCAUUCCUCAACUUUCUCAGUCUUUUUUUGCCACCUGUCCUAGCUUUUUUGGAACGUGUUGCAGCCAUAAAAUUCUAAGUUCAUGAUUAUUUGCUAAAAACAAAGUUUAUCAGUUUCAGCAUUAAAUGUCUUUGUCGUGUAUUCAAUUAAAUAUAGGUUAAACAUGAUUUGCAAAUCAUUGUACUCUGUUUUUAUUUGUUUAACACAAUGUCCCAACUUCAUUGGAAUUGGGGUUGUACAGAGAUGAAAAAUGCCUGAUCUCCAUGGGGGUCUGACUUAUUCUGGAGAAGAAGGUUGUUUGGAUCUGAUUUGCAGCCGCAACCCCACACAUAUCAGUCAGAUUUGGAGAUAAGAUUCUUCAUGGGUGGAGGAGGGGCCCUUCGUAUCUUAGUGGACAUUGGUUUUAGGCGAGGGCCAACGGGAGGAAUGUAUUGGCGUGGUGUGCAGUGGAUUCCAACAUUAACAAGGGCCUUCAUCCUGUCCGUCACAUCUAAUAGAGUAAGCUAGAUGAUAGUGAGUGUUGUCUUGGGCUUUGCUCCAAUGGAGAGAUUCCAAGUGCUGCCUCAUCUCAUUCCUCAUUCGUUCUUCCGAUUGUUUGGGUGACGCUGGUUACUCCAUCUGUGCCUCGUGUCGUCUUCUCUUGUUCCUUCGAUUGUUUAGGUACAACUGGAGACGACUCCUGCGGCUUUUGUCCUUCAGCCCUGCCAACAAGGCGAAUGUUUUCCUUUCGUGCCGCAGAGUGGUGUACACGGUAAAAAAUGUCAGCCAGUAACCUAACCCCUUUUUUAUUGAGACAGAAACCAUCUGCCUUGUAAAGAUGUCUGCACUCCCAAAAAAUGAAGAAAUUGUCAAUGAAGCUCACGAAUAGCGCAAUACACACUUUUUUGAGCCACUUAUUUAAUUGACUGAGCCUGCUGAAACGUUCAUCUCCAGAUCGUAUCAUUGGUGGAGGUCCACUUAUGAAAACCUUAGCAUCCAAGCAUUGCACCUUUGUUAGGAGAUCAAUGAAAUCUUGUUUCAAUACCUCUGAUUGCUGCUUAACAUCCAGGGCUCCUGUGUGUAUAAUGAUAGAUUUCACAGUUGGGUGGUCUCCAUGAUUAUUAUUAUUUUUUUGAGAUAUCCGACACCAUGUCGUUGGUAAAACACACUACUUUUGUGUUCUUCUCGCUGCAAAAACGUUUCACAUCCUUGACAGCUCCAUCAGCAACUAUUAAAGUUUGCAGUGCCAUAUUUUUCUUGCAUGAUUUAAUUUAAUACUUUUCAGUGGUGGUUGGGGAUGAGCAUUCUUUGCCAGGAUUUUGUCUCAAAUCUGUUUGUCUUCUAUUGACUUGC